rnacentral:pre_miRNA from 1 species
AUGUGCUUGCCAUGUAUGCAUGUGGGCAUGUGCAUGUGCAUGUACAUUAUAUAUGUGUGUAUGAAUGUAAGUACAC